GGCGCACGGGUGAGUAACACGUAGCUAACCUGCCCUUCAGUGGGGGAUAACCUGGGGAAACUCGGGCUAAUACCGCAUAACAUCCGCACAAGCAAAGACCCGCUGGAGGAGGGGGCUGCGGCCGAUUAGCUAGUUGGUGAGGUAAUGGCUCACCAAGGCGAUGAUCGGUAGCCGGCCUGAGAGGGCGCACGGCCACACUGGCACUGAAACACGGGCCAGACUCCUACGGGAGGCAGCAGUGGGGAAUUUUGCACAAUGCCCGAAAGGGUGAUGCAGCAACGCCGCGUGAGGGAUGAAGGCCUUCGGGUCGUAAACCUCUUUCGAUCGGGAAAAAUGAUGGUACCGGAUGAAGAAGCCCCGGCCAACUACGUGCCAGCAGCCGCGGUAAUACGUAGGGGGCGAGCGUUGUUCGGAAUUACUGGGCGUAAAGGGCGUGUAGGCGGUGCGAUAAGUCAGGCGUGAAAUCCCCGGGC
rnacentral:rRNA from 1 species